rnacentral:rRNA from 1 species
AUGAGGAUAUCAUCAAAGAAAAUUAACACACAGUGUCUCAGCAGAGGCCCUAAAACAGUGCGCAUGAGCUCUGUAAAAGUGGGAGGACCAUUUGUAACUCCAAAUGGCAUUACCAGGAACUCAAACAGACCAGUGUGUGCUAGCAGUUUUCUCUAUAUCUCCCUCCUUCAUUCUAAUUUGAUGAUAACCACUUCUCAGGUCCAGCUUGGUAAAUAUGGUUGCUCCAUUAAGUUCAUCCAGGAGAUCUUCUAUCAUGGGAUUGGGAUAUUUGUUCUUGAUUGUGUGUGCAUUAAGUCUUCUAUAGUCAAUGCAUAA